rfam:Streptomyces sp. AVP053T2 APS67_contig000006, whole genome shotgun sequence.
AACGACCGGUCGGACCCGUCUGCCCACAGCAUGCGUGCCCGGCCCACAAGUGGAGGCUUUCGAACUCCCACCUGACCGUCCCCCGGAUGGCAGGUCACCGGUCAGGCGGUCCCGCUCGGCGGCGAUCCGCCCGAAAGUGCGCCCCGCGGUCACCGCGGCGGUGCUCCGGUAGUUCGAGGAGCCCCGUCUGUGAUCGUCCGGGGCAUUUUUG